rnacentral:Y_RNA from 1 species
GGCCCAAAGGUAGUAAGUUACUCAAUUGAUCAUGGAGAGUCUGUCAUGAUUGGAAGUCCUUGUUUCACUCUUUACCCCCUUCUCACUACUGUUCUUGAGUAGUCUUUU